rnacentral:rRNA from 1 species
GACGUAGGGGGCGAGCGUUGUCCGGAUUUAUUGGGCGUAAAGAGCUCGUAGGCGGCUCAGAAAGUCGGGUGUGAAACCUCCAGGCUCAACCUGGAGACGCCACCUGAUACUGCUGUGGCUAGAGUCCGGUAGGGGAACACGGAAUACCCGGUGUAGCGGUGAAAUGCUUAGAUAUCGGGUGGAACACCAGUGGCGAAGGCGGUGUUCUGGGCCGGAACUGACGCUGAGGAGCGAAAGCGUGGGGAGCAAACAGG